UUCGCAUACACGUUCGGCAGCUCUUGGGAGUGGAUCCAUCCGCUUUCUUUUCUUUGCUCACUGCCAACCUCUCUAACGACGAAGGAGGAAUCAGUAAUAGGAAAAGACAAGAAAAUGAUGCGUCGCGUCUGCAGCAACACCGUUCGUCGCAACGGUGGCUCCAUGGCCAAGCUGGUUGAAUCCAAGGCGGUGGUGCAGCCCUCUCUCGUGGAGUCUCGCCGCCAUCUGGAGCCGAUGAGCGUGUGGUACCUCGCCUCGUGGACGUGCGUGUGGUGGUACUCGUUCUUCUUCUGGCUUCCUGUGCUGUGGGCCGACAUGAUCGUCCCGUCCUUUGUGUACAACAAGCUGCCGGUCAUUCACUUCAUCCAGGAGAAGCGUGCCGAGCAGAAGCUGCGUCGUGUGCUCGAUGAGACGUACACGCAAUGGAGUACGGAGCUGGAGGCCUCGCACAUCACCGAUGCCAUCGCUCGCACCUUCUAAAGCGGCAUGCAGAGGCGUAAAGCGAGGGGGCCCGGAGACAAACAGGAGCGAGAGAGGCGAACCCGCAGCUGCUAGCCCUUCCUGCUCCUGUUUACGGCAUCACCUCACGCGUUGCUGUGGAUGUGGUCGAGGAAACAGGGAAAAAAUAAACGACUCAGGUGACUUGCGCGUGCGGAGGAAGAAUGCGUGUGUGUGUGUAUCGUGCAGCGACAGACGCGGCUGUAGGCGCUACCGAGGCGAAAAAGGCGACGCUGCAGAGCAUGAUGGAGGAAGAAUGGGUGAGACUUCUUUGUGUGCGUACAUAUAUCUCACUCUCAUUGGUCGCCACGCACACCUGAACAAAACACUCGCCUGGGCACAGCCCGCUUCGCUUUUGUCGUUGGCGCGGUGCUCGCCGCUGCAGGCCUUCUCUCCGCGUCGUCGUCUCCGCAGCUUCGGGGUUUCCUUCUCAAGGCGUUCUCCUGUUUUCCUCGUCUCCUCCCUCUGUAGUAGUUUGUAGUAGUUAAGAGGUACAGACCCACAAAGCAGUCCCCUCC
rnacentral:misc_RNA from 1 species